rnacentral:lncRNA from 1 species
UUUGUACGUAAAAGCUAAAUAAAUUCAUACAUACUGUAAUACAGAUAACCAAAGCAUAAGAUUUAACUUAUAGUGGCAUGUGGGCCCACGAACGACCAAAAGUAUCAAAAGUGGUAAACCUACAGUUUUUGAAGAUGUAAGUCCAACUGUAGCCCUUAACGAAAUGAGCUAUUUAUCGACUAUCCUGAGCCUGAAAUGGGUGAAAAGGAGGGUGGUGAGAUUAUAUAAUCCCAGUGAGUAAACAAAUACCAUCUAAAAUAUCUAAAGCUGAGUAAAUGGAGACAGAUAAAAUAGAUUAGCAUAAAAAUGAUUCACAGCAUUUCGAACUCAUUUUAAUAAGAUAAAAUAGAUUCAUUUCACCAAAAUAAACAAACGAGGCUUAUGAUUUCCUGAAAAGUUUGGCUCGUGCCAAAAUUAUUCCCAUACUCAAUUAUCAGGGAUACUUUGGCCUGGGGCUAUCCCAAUCGAGUCCGCCAAGGUUGUUAAAAAAAAAUCAUGUACGCAUAAAUCAUGUUUUUAUUUUGAAAACAUAGCCAUUCCUUGGCGUUGGUUGAGUUCACCCUCACGUGGUGGUUUAGUGUGAAGUGAACUCUAAAGUUGUACCUCGGAAGUUACCCUACGCGCCUCCCCAAUAGAGGUAAGAAUAUAACUGGAUUUUGUGCCCCUCAAAAAGGCUGGUCCACAGAACCCGCCCACUAUAGCAAGCUAAACCCACCAUACAAUAAAAUUUGUGAUAGCAUGACAUGGCAAUUAUUUUAUUUUACAGCCUCUCAAGGCAAACAAACAGUUCAUACAUUUUCAGCACAUUUACCAAUUCAACCAUUCAUGCCAAUAUUAUCAUAAGCCAUUCAGUUCAAACCAUGAUUUAUAACACAACAAUUAGUCUCCAAUUACUUCAUUUUCAAAACCAUCUUUCAAUUUCAAGACAAUUUUAUAAAAUCGUUUCAUUUAAUCACAUUUUGCUUAUAAAACAUAAAGAUUUACCAUUUAAAUUCAUUUUUCAUAAAAUCACAAAAUCAGAUAAAAACUACUUUAGAUAAUUAAGACGAUAAUAAGGUUACUCACUAUUUCGGAAGUCGAAUUCCGAGCACUUCGAUUCUUGAUCCUCGGGUACUAUCUCUUCACUUUUGCCAAAAAGUUCACCACCUAAACAUAAUGCACAAUAAGCCAUUUACUACAUUUGUGCUAAACCGUUGUAAAACCAAUUUAGGCUUUAUACUAAUGCAUGAAAUGGGAUGUGAAAUACUCAGGUAACUAGCUAAAUACGGUGUUCAAUAUAAAUUCAAUUAUGUACCUAAAUAAAAUGGUAUUGGCCUAAUUCGAUCUAUCACCCGAUUAAAUGGCUAAUAUGUCCAAUUUAACUCCAAUUAACUCCAUUUUUCUUCCAAUUCUCCAAACUAUCAAACACAAGUUAAAUAGCAUAAAAUUUAGCAAAAUCAUCUUCACAUUUUCUCUUGGGAAUUUCGGCCAUGGUGGGUGCAUCAAAACUAUGAUUUUUCCUACUUGAUUUUCUCAACAUAAUUCAUCAUUUCCUAAGCAAUUCACUUGAAAUAAAAUCAAAUCCACCAUCCACACUCUACAUGGAAGAUUUGGCCAAUGAUGGGUGAUGGGAGGAAGUGAAUUUUUCUUGUUGGCUUUUCAUGCUACACAUCACUAACUAACUAAAAACACUAAAAUAUCUCAAAAUCUAACCAAAUCAAGCAUCAAAACCUCCCUCUAAGUGCUCGGCCAGCAAGGGAUUCAUCAUGAUUUCAUGUGAUUCAACCAUGGAAAAUAAGAAAAAAUGCUUAAGAAAGAGAGAUCUCAAACUUAAUUGAAAAAAUCUUACCUUUUUUCACUUGUUUCCUUGAAUUUUCACACUUUUCCCUUGAAUUUUUCCACCUAGGGUUUUGUUCUUCCUUUUUCUUGCUUCUCCUUGGUGAGG